CACAUGCAAGUCGAACGAUGAAACCGCUUCGGUGGUGGAUUAGUGGCGAACGGGUGAGUAACACGUGGGCAAUCUGCCCUUCACUCUGGGACAAGCCCUGGAAACGGGGUCUAAUACCGGAUAACACUCUGUCCCGCAUGGGACGGGGUUGAAAGCUCCGGCGGUGAAGGAUGAGCCCGCGGCCUAUCAGCUUGUUGGUGGGGUAAUGGCCUACCAAGGCGACGACGGGUAGCCGGCCUGAGAGGGCGACCGGCCACACUGGGACUGAGACACGGCCCAGACUCCUACGGGAGGCAGCAGUGGGGAAUAUUGCACAAUGGGCGAAAGCCUGAUGCAGCGACGCCGCGUGAGGGAUGACGGCCUUCGGGUUGUAAACCUCUUUCAGCAGGGAAGAAGCGAAAGUGACGGUACCUGCAGAAGAAGCGCCGGCUAACUACGUGCCAGCAGCC
rnacentral:rRNA from 1 species